CUCAAUUCUUGUAGGAAUUUACUCUUAGCAGUUGUAUUGAAAUUAAUCCAGUUAUAAUUUUAGUAAUUUGAAUGGAAUUAUUGUCUGCAAAAAAGGUGAACCUCUACAACUAAGCCCAUCCCCACAGUAGUAAUAGUUUGCGUCAUUGUAUGAUGGGAACUAGUAAUCUAUUUCUGUAAUGUAGGUGUGUCAAUAUAUUUAUUGCCAGGCUAAUUAAAGUGAAGCUUAUCUCUAUGAUUUUAAAUGUGUUGAAUGGACUUUGUCUUUGCAGCACUUCAUUGCACAUGCAGUAU